rnacentral:rRNA from 1 species
GAUGAACGCUGGCGGCGUGCCUAAUACAUGCAAGUCGAGCGAACGGACGAGAAGCUUGCUUCUCUGAUGUUAGCGGCGGACGGGUGAGUAACACGUGGAUAACCUACCUAUAAGACUGGGAUAACUUCGGGAAACCGGAGCUAAUACCGGAUAAUAUUUUGAACCGCAUGGUUCAAAAGUGAAAGACGGUCUUGCUGUCACUUAUAGAUGGAUCCGCGCUGCAUUAGCUAGUUGGUAAGGUAACGGCUUACCAAGGCAACGAUGCAUAGCCGACCUGAGAGGGUGAUCGGCCACACUGGAACUGAGACACGGUCCAGACUCCUACGGGAGGCAGCAGUAGGGAAUCGUCCGCAGUGGGCGAAAGCCUGACGGAGCAACGCCGCGUGAGUGAUGAAGGUCUUCGGAUCGUAAAACUCUGUUAUUAGGGAAGAACAUAUGUGUAAGUAACUGUGCACAUCUUGACGGUACCUAAUCAGAAAGCCACGGCUAACUACGCG